rnacentral:misc_RNA from 1 species
CAGAGAGAAAGAGCAGAACCUGAUGCCCUUUUGAUGUGUGAGUGGGUGGUGCUCUUUUUCUCCUUCUCUCCAUAGCCCUCUCUCUCUUUAUUUGUUUUGUUUUUUAAUUUUUGGGGUUUCCCCUUCUCCCAAGUCCUCAUUUUCUUCUUUUUUUCUGCCCAAAAACAUCUCUAAACAAAAGCUUCAAACAGCUUAAGGCAGGCUGAUGGAUGAAGGUUCUAGUGGGGUUGCUUGAUCUUGAAAAAAACUACCUAGUUUGCUAGCUCCUUUGUUGCAGCUGGAGGCUGUGCGUGGUGAGAGUGCUUUGUGGUGGGGUUUGGAUUAGAAAGAGAAAGAUAAAAGGAGAGAGUAAGAUACCUGUAGUAGUGUUAUAUAUGCUGAAGGCUAACAGGUUAAAGAUAAGGCCCAGUGGAAGUGGAAGAGAUAAUAGUAGUAAGAGUAGUUACGGUGAAGCUUGUGACUGUUUCAAAAACAGCACAAGAAGAGAGAAGCUUAGCAUCAGAUGUUAUCCAUUGAAAACCCUCCACCAGAUCCCCCAUGUUCUUGCCAAUUUCCGCAACUGAAUAGUAGUAGUGAUGAGAGGGCUUCUCUUAAGCUUCCCUUGCCAGAGGUAGAUCUACCAAACCCACCCCUUGAUCAUCAUACCCCACUUCCCAAUUUCUCGAUAAGAGAUUAUGUAUUUACGGCCCGGAAUAAAGAUAUCAGGAAGAAUUGGCCUUUUUCUCAGAAAAAUUUGCAGCUUUGUUUGAAACAUGGCGUGAAGGAAUUGUUACCACCAUUUCAGCCUCUUGACUCAGUAAGGAACCAGUCCCUUAAGAGAUGUACGGUUGAAACUACUUCACAUGAGAAGCAAAACACAAGCAGUUUUAAUAAGGAGCAGCCAGACAAUCAUGUCGCACUAGAUUCAUCUGAUGAAGGCCUGUUGAAUAAUAAGCUAGCAGAAUCUUGCUUAGACGUUAGUUCAUGUAGAUCUGGAGAAGAUAUUAAUUUUCCAUCCACAGUAACAAGUGUGUCUCAAUCUGAGAUAGAGUCACUUCCUGAUAACAGGCAAUCUAGCUCACUGUUACAGAUUGAGACUUCAAGGAAAAACUCAAUUGCAGUUGAGGCUGCGGGACCUUCUGGGAAUAAGAAGACUGAGAGCACCUCCAGGCCAUUGAGCAAGAAGUGCAGGUUGAUAGUGAAAUUUGGUGGCAACUCUGAUCGUAACUCAACUGAAGAUAUAGCUUCUAAUUCUACUACUGUCUCAGAAACAAUGGCUUCCAAAGUUUGCCCUGUUUGCAAAACCUUCUCGUCCACAUCUAACACUACUUUGAAUGCUCAUAUCGAUCAGUGUCUUUCAGUGGAGUCAACACCCAAAUGGACAGCUGAUUCUAAGCUAACAAGACAUAGGUUUAAGCCGAGGAAAACAAGGUUGAUGGCGGAUAUUUAUAUGACAGCUACACCAUGUACAUUAGAAGAACUUGAUCGAAGAAAUGGUACAAAUUGGGCCACAAUUUCAAGCAUGCCUACUCAAGAAACUGAGAAGACUGAGACUACUAAUGAAGGGAAAAAGCACAGGGUGUCACAAGUUCAUCCUGAGGAUGCUGGUGAUGUAGGUCCCGUUUAUAUUGAUGCAAAUGGCACCAAACUUAGGAUUUUAUCCAAGUUUAGCGACCAACCUUCAGUUUCCAAAGUAGGGGAAGAUAUUGGAGCAAGGAAACCUUUGAAAGGAGACAAAGGAAUCAAAUACAUUGCAAAGAAGAAGAAAAAACGGCUCGCACAAAAACAUCUCAAGUAUUUGAAACUUGCUCCUCAAAGCAAGAAAAUUUUCUCCCACAAGGCCCAUGGCUCCCAGAUUUCUGGAGGUCAACAAGAAUGUAAGAGAGAAGCUAGAAGUUUUGAGAAAGAACAUCUAAUGUCAAAACAAACCAAAUCCAGUGAUUCUGGGACUUUAAGACCAUGGGUUUGCUCCAAACGAAGAGAUUUUACAAAGAAGAUUACUAGUCAAGAGGGCCAUCAACCUGUGAAAUGUAAUUGGCAUUUGCCUGGGGAUUUUCUGGUUGACAAUGGUCAAUCAUUUUUGGGUGAUUCUCUUGCGGAGAGGAAUCAUGUUCAGAAAUCUACCAAUCAGUCUGAGAGUCCUACAUCUCCUGGAAACAGUGAGAGAAUGGAUAAGUUAUUUCUUAAAGUCCAAGUUGGCAACAAGAACGAGCAAUCUCCUGGUGGAAACGAAGUGAGCAAUCUCUUGGUGGAAGGCAGGACCAGUGACAAUUUGGAGAGCUCUUCUCCAUCAAUUAAAGCAAAUUCCAAUCAAUUGGGCAAAAGUGACACUUCAGUGCACGCUAGUUGUAUGCUGGGACUUUCAAGCUCCUCCAGGAAUCAUGCAUUUUUGCUGAGCAAGAAGAUAGUUAGUACUUGCAAAGAUACAAACAAAAAUCCUGACAUUUCUUGCAUUGCUAGCACAAAAUCUCCACGGAAUGCUCAUGCUGUUGUAACAAAAGCAAUGAAAUUCUCCUCCUUUAGUAAGAACUUGUCUGCUAAGGGCCGGUCUUCUGUGACUGAAUCUGUGCCUGGUAAAAUUAAGAAGUGGUCAGCCAUUAAGAAUUCUCAAGUGCGUUUCAUGAAAAAACGAGAAGAAGGGGCAGUGACUUGGGAUUCUGAAGUUGAUCAAUACUAUGAUUUGAUGCAUGGGGAUGCAGAAAAUCAAGUUGAAAGAGAAGAAAUAGCUGAUGAGGAGUCUCAUGAGAGAAGCAAUGUCCUGGAAACUAGGCAAGCAAGAGGAUUAUCAUGUAUUUCUCAAGGGGAGGAAGCAUUGGCUUUGAGGAGCUCAAAAUCUGCAACUUCAUGUUAUUAUCAUGAUGAGCGGGCAAAUGCAGAUUCUUCAGUUGGAAUUGGUAAUGAUUUGCUGCAGAAAGUUGAUUACAUAGACUCUGGUAGAAAACAGGUUCAUGUAUGUGCGGAGUGCAUUGUUGUUGAACCGUCUUCCAAAACUUCUGAUGGCAGGAGCGGAAGCAGCUUGAUUAAGCCGGUAGACUCAGAAUUUUACAAGCCCAGCAAUUCCUUGGAGGUCCAAUCUAAUUCUCUUCAAUCUGUUGAAGAUUACAGAGGGCUUUUAUGUGGGAAUGAAGCACCAAGAGUUACAACUGAGCCUGAUUUUGUCAAUGAUCAAGAGAUAUUUUCUGCUGAUGAAAUUGGCAAUGAUAUGGUGGCACAAGAUGCUGAUAUAGGGGUGGAGUUGGAUUCAGAAGUUGGGCAAGGGAGCUCUUUUCCAGAGGUUGAUCCAAUACCUAUUCCAGGACCACCAGGGUCUUUUUUGCCGAGUCCUAGGGAUUUUGGCUCAGAAGAUUUUCAAGGCAACUCUUCUCUUACCACAAGCCGGGUUCAUUCUUCUCUGGAUCAGCAUGAUGUGGUUGAUGGACAUUCAUCUGAUUCGCCAAUGUCUGCAGCAUCCACCAUCUCUAACUCCACAGCAGGUAGAUCUGAUUUUAACCAUUCUGAACCAUCAUCAUCGGUGGGACCUUAUGUUGUUAAAGAGAAGAUUGGGUCAACUGGUGCUAGUGUUGAGCCUUCAGUGCAAAGUGCUGGUGCUGUUCCACAGGCAACAGGUGCCGAAGUGGAAAGAACUACUUUGGAUGGAGAAUAUAUGAAACCUGACAGAAUCUAUAUUGAGAAGGGCUCUUUCAAUUUCAGGAAUGAUCAGCCAUGCUGUUGCCAAAAGAAGGAGAGAUUUUCUCAGGGUGUUGCUUUAAAUUUUCAAAAUUCACAACUAUUGAGACGACGAAAAAUGGCUUCAGUGACUGUUCCUGCUAGUGGAAAGCAUAUGGAUUUCAACUCCAGCCUAAGGCCUGCAGAUUUGGAUAUGCGACCUGAAUUGGUUCCUCCAAGCAGUUGCACAAAUUCAGGAUCAGAGAAGGUGGUUCUCCCAGUUAUUAAGCCCCUUGCAGGUCCCAUUCCUUUUAAGGAUUCUUCCAAUCCAGGAGUGAGGUUUUUAGCUCGUACUGAUUCUGAUUCUGCUAGUCCAUCUGCGUCCAAUCCUAUACUUCGGCUGAUGGGAAAGAACUUAAUGGUGGUCAACAAAGAUGAAGAUACUUCAGUACCACUUGGAGGGGUCCAACCUCGUGUUCAGAAUAGCCAUCAAAACUCUCCAUUUCUGGCCUUUUCCAGAGUCUAUCCUGGCAAUAUCGAGAAUCAGGACUGCCAUCCCUUACGUCAUAUGGGCCCCCAAGCUUCUGUCAUCUUUGGUCAGAACUCUCAUAAAGUAGAUCAAUGCUUUGAUGGGGGAUUGUCGAAUAGUUAUAGAAGCCAAUCUGAUUCUCAAUUACCUGUACAUGCUCGACUACCAGCAGGCAUGUUUCAAGUCCAGCUUACAGAUUGCAGUUUUGCGUCAUCCAGGGAGUUUCACGAGUACAAAGGUGAUUGCAACAUUUCAAGCCGACAUAGUAGGAUAAAGAACAGGUUAAAUGUAUCACCCACAGAUAAUAUGGAGACAGUUAUAGCAACUGCUGACUGCCAUUAUCAGCAUACUGAUUCCUCCACAAAUCCAGUAAAAGAAAUCAUCAUUGUUGAUGAUGUUCCUGAAAGUGAAAAUGUUGUGAAGUAUACUGAACCUGGGAGGGAAAACCAGGUAGUUGCUUCUGGAAUCCCGAUUCCGGUGGCUCCAAAUUAUAACCCAACUCGUGCACAUCCUUUUUCAUGUUAUCAGUCACAGGAACAUUCUGUCCUUGGCGAAUCACCUAUUGUGCGUAAUGCCAGCUUUCAUGCAACCCCUGCAAAGCUAGGCAACUCAUGUCCCGUUAGGUGGGGUUGUACUUCAGAAGGUUCAGUUGUGUUGCAGCGGAGCCCUUUUGCAGCUGCAUCAUCCUCACCUGGUCAUCUAAGAUCUACAGCACUGCAUUAUUCUCCAGGCUUUUCAUAGUCAAAGUACUUUGGCUUGCAUGGCCAUUUCUGCAAAGAUUGUGGUUUACUAGGUUGCUCAUCAAUCAAACUUGUGUUGGACUUGAGCUGCUACCUCAGAAUACAAGAUGCCAGAAACUUUCAGUGUUUAAAAAUGACUAGCAGAAAUAAUGGCAGUUUGAUCGAAGAUGCCCAGCAUGAGCAAAGCAGUUGGGAACUCAGAGAAAAGUUUGUAUUAAUUUCUGAUGUACUGAAUGUCGAGUCUCAUUUUAAGCAGUUUUUUUGGGGUUCUGCUUGGGCAAUGUCAAAGUUUCCUCAAGACUAGAUAAUGUAUAAGCAAUCGUUGAAUAAUAGUUGAUAAGGAACCUUGGCUGGAAGACAAAGAAGUCAAAUGUUCCUAUAAAGUUCUCACCCUUAUUUUCCUUUUUAUUUUAUGUCAUUUUUCCCAUAUAGCUUUCAUCUGAGCUAAAGUCAGGUGUUCCUAUAAAGAAAUUCUCACCUUUUUCUUUUUUAUUAUAAUUUUCUCCUUUUAUAUUUUAUUUGGGCUAUUUUCCAUUAUUUAAGCAUCUCAUGCAUG